rnacentral:rRNA from 1 species
AAUAGAUACCCGGGUAGUCCACGCCGUAAACGAUGAGUGCUAAGUGUUAGAGGGUUUCCGCCCUUUAGUGCUGCAGCUAACGCAUUAAGCACUCCGCCUGGGGAGUACGGCCGCAAGGCUGAAACUCAAAGGAAUUGACGGGGGCCCGCACAAGCGGUGGAGCAUGUGGUUUAAUUCGAAGCAACGCGAAGAACCUUACCAGGUCUUGACAUCCUCUGCCAACCCUAGAGAUAGGGCGUUCCCCUUCGGGGGACAGAGUGACAGGUGGUGCAUGGUUGUCGUCAGCUCGUGUCGUGAGAUGUUGGGUUAAGUCCCGCAACGAGCGCAACCCUUGAUCUUAGUUGCCAGCAUUUAGUUGGGCACUCUAAGGUGACUGCCGGUGACAAACCGGAGGAAGGUGGGGAUGACGUCAAAUCAUCAUGCCCCUUAUGACCUGGGCUACACACGUGCUACAAUGGAUGGUACAAAGAGCUGCGAACCCGCGAGGGUAAGCUAAUCUCAUAAAGCCAUUCUCAGUUCGGA